CCUACGGGAGGCAGCAGUGAGGAAUAUUGGUCAAUGGUCGGGAGACUGAACCGGCCAAGCCGCGUGAGGGAUGAAGGUACAGAGUAUCGUAAACCUCUUUUGUCAGGGAACAAAGGCGGGGACGUGUCCCCGGAUGAAUGUACCUGACGAAAAAGCAUCGGCUAACUCCGUGCCAGCAGCCGCGGUAAUACGGAGGAUGCGAGCGUUAUCCGGAUUUAUGGGGUUUAAAGGGUGCGCAGGCGGUCUGUUAAGUCAGCGGUCAAAGCCCGGGGCUCAACCCCGGCCCGCCGUUGAAACUGGCAGUCUCGAGUUGGAGAGAAGUAUGCGGAAUGCGCGGUGUAGCGGUGAAAUGCAUAGAUAUCGCGCAGAACUCCGAUUGCGAAGGCAGCAUGCCGGCUCCACACUGACGCUGAGGCACGAAAGCGUGGGUAUCGAACAGGAUUAGAUACCCCGGUAGUC
rnacentral:rRNA from 1 species